rnacentral:rRNA from 1 species
GUGGGGAAUAUUGGGCAAUGGGCGAAAGCCUGACCCAGCAACGCCGCGUGAAGGAAGAAGGCCCUCGGGUUGUAAACUUCUUUUAAGAGGGACGAAAGAAAUGACGGUACCUCUUGAAUAAGCCACGGCUAACUACGUGCCAACAGCCGCGGUAAUACGUAGGUGGCGAGCGUUAUCCGGAUUUACUGGGUGUAAAGGGCGUGUAGGCGGGAGUGCAAGUCAGAUGUGAAAAUUAUGGGCUCAACCCAUAACCUGCAUUUGAAACUGUUCUUCUUGAGUGAUGGAGAGGCAGGCGGAAUUCCGUGUGUAGCGGUGAAAUGCGUAGAUAUACGGAGGAACACCAGUGGCGAAGGCGGCCUGCUGGACAUUAACUGACGCUGAGGCGCGAAAGCGUGGGGAGCAAACAGGAUUAGAAACCCGAGUAGUCC